AUUGGUCAGCCAUCUUCCCCCUUGCUAGCAAGCUAUAGUAAAAAGUCCUUUCUCUGCCACCAUCUUGCCUGUUGACAAUUGGGUUUUGUCUCGCAGCAAGCAGAUGGUGCCCUUUGUGCGGUAACAAAAAUCUGGCAACUCUGGCGGGACCUUAAAGUCCCUGCUCAUGGCCAGCUGACCUGGGACAGGCGACUUGUCAGGUGAGUCCCUAGUGGCUGCCGAGGCUCUCUUUGUCUCGGGAUCUGCCCUACUUGCUCUCCCGUGCCGACACCGACUGCCUCCUAAUGCUCCCUAUGGUGUAAAGAGAAAAGGCUACAUCUGGUGUGUCGAUGGGCUCACAUCUGGAGUAGGAGAGAUUCAUGGAAAGGACUCUGACAUUUACUCUGGAAUACAGGUUUCUGACAAACUAUCAGAUUAUGAAACUGAACUGGGUGCCUGGAAUCUCAAUAUUUUGGGGAACCUCAAAAGAAGAGAGGAAUUCACCCAAAUCUAACUAAAGCUGCCUUUUUUCCUGAAGCCUUGCAAACUGAAGCUGGAGGACUUGAUAUAAACUUAAGAGAGAUUCAUGUCUGUUGCUGUGUAAGCCACUCAGAAAGCACGGCUUGAUGAGCAGUGCAUCAGUCCACACCUGGGAUUCGAACCUGCAAGCCCCCGGCCGCUGAAGCAGAGCACGGAACCCAACCACUAUGCCACUGGGCCGGCCCCACUAACCUGC